AAAUUGAAGAGUUUGAUCAUGGCUCAGAUUGAACGCUGGCGGCAGGCUUAACACAUGCAAGUCGAACGGUAGCAGGAAGAAGC
rnacentral:rRNA from 1 species